UUGCAACCAAUUGAUUUUGCCUUGUCUUCCAGGCUUAUCUUUAUCCAGGUGGAAACUUGCUAUGGACAACGAAUGUGUGCAUUUCACAAGGAAUGGACCUAGGGAACUACUCCUUCUCCAUCUGGGUUUACACAAUUGAAAACCUUCUAUCCUAUCAGACAUCUGAACUCGGCAUGUUCUCCUUUUUUUUUUCCUUUUAUCUGUUGUUAGUCGUACUUUUUUUCUUUCCUGUCGCACAGUUCAAAUAACUUUAGUCAUAGCUUUUCCUAGAGCAGAAUAGCAUGCCUGAGUGCAAAAUGUGGAGAGUAUACAGCUUUUGUUCAUUGUUUCUUGAGAGUAUGGCAUAUGGUCAUUCUUACUAUUGCAUGCCUCAUUAACCGUAUUAGAGGAGUCCUAAAUGUUACAACUCCAUUCAAAGUCCUUCAGCCAGGUAGCUAUCACAUUUUUCAGUGGAAAUAUAACUUUGCGAUUGGUUCCAACCAAUGUUUUACAUAACUUUUAGCUUAGAUUAUAUUACUUUUUAGCAAAGAACAAAUGUCUAAAUUACAGUAAUUACUAGAAUAUUGAUUUGAAAUUUGUAAUUGGUGAUAAUUCUGAGGGAAAAUAUGAGAAUAGGAUUUCAUUAUGACUUAGCUGACAUAUAUAAGCCUUAACCAAUCAUAUAUUUAGACAAUUAUUGAUAAAAAUCUAUUAACCAAGCAUAUAUAAUUCUUGAUGAAUCACUGAUGCAGACCCUAGAUUACAAGUUCCAAAUAAACAACAAAGUUCGAUUCCUUCCUUAUUUCCAAUUCCAUUCUUGAAACCAAACACCAUAUUCAUUCCACAUUGUUUGUUAUUCAAAUUUGAAUAAAUUCAUGUAAGUGUGCACUCAAAAUAAAAAGAAUUUAUAAAGCAGCACAAGAAAAUCUAUUCACUGAAAAGGUGAUAGAGUUUUACCAUCCAGCUUAAGAAACCCCGACC
rnacentral:lncRNA from 1 species